CAUUUUUAGGGACAUUUCUUUUCUGUAUGACAUAAAACGUGUGAAAGGAGAGAUUAGAGAGAAUGUAGUUUGUCCUCCACGUAUGGACCGUUCAUUAGAGUCACAUGAUGGUGCCAUGGUGCCUCAUAAGCCAAAGACAUUAACAGAUACUUUGAUUCCUGA
rnacentral:lncRNA from 1 species